GCCGCACUGAGGGAAGUCCUCCACCCGUCGCCGCUCAGUGAGUGCGGCUGGCGUUGCGGCGCCAUUGGCGCCGCUUUUCAGGACAGAAGAUUGCUGUCCAAACCACGCCAGCUAUUUUUGCUAUGUCUUACGUGUGGUUUCACGGUAGGGUGCGAACUCUGCAGCCCCCAGAGGACAGCGUGCUCGGGGCGUGUGAGGGCAGCGGGCGUCGGCGCAGGCAGGCUCCCCAGGGCAGUGGGCAUGGCCCCCAGCUGCCAGAGUUCAAGGCGCAUUUGGACAAUGCUAUCAGACAUACAGUUUGACUUUCGUGUGGCGCUGUGUGGGGCCAGGAGUUGGACUCUGUGAUUCCUGUAUUCCUUUCCAACUCAUUCCAUGGUUCUGUGAUCUUCAUAGCUUCAGCUAUAAGGCUUUUUUUGUAGAUACUCCUCGUAAGUGCAUCUGCCUAGAGAGACGGAAGAUGAUAAGAAGGUUCUAUUUGAGGGCUGCCCAGAGUUCUUUCCAGGCUUACAUUUCAGUGUUCCUACUUCAGACAGUGAAUAUUUGUCUGAACUUUUGCUUUCUCUCAGAACUGUGAAACUGCUGUAUCCUUCUUCACAUUGUUAUGGACCCUGAGGGCCAGAGCAGACCCACGUUUGCUUAUACUGAUCAAUGGAUUUCAGCCAUCAACAGUGUCAAGUCUUUAUAUCACACUUUCAAAGCUUUGAGGUAUUCAGAGUAGGGGCAUCCUUAAGUGUCUUUUGAAUAAUUUUUCAACACACAGUUUCCAAGGAAAUGUUCAUAGCAAAACUUUUAAUGAAUUCACAAGUUACAAAUUAUUUAGGUUUCAAACUCUAGCUCAGCAUUAAUUACAGAAAGAAAGAAAUUUUGGCCACUCUUUGAGCUCCAUAACAAUCUUUGCUACCUUUGUACUUAGUAUAUAAUUUGCUCAGAAUACUGACAGCUUUGUUUUAGUGAUCACCCUGACCUCCUUGUGAAAGCAAAGGCAAAUUACUGCUUCUUGCAUUUUAGCUGUGCCUGGCAUAUUUGGCUCCAUCUUCCAAAUAUGGAGCCAAAUAUGGAAGAUGGAAAGAGGUUGUGCAGGAACGAGGACUGAUAACAUCUGAUAACUGCUGAUAACAUCUAUUUGAUGCAACCAGUUAGAAAUACAGACACCUAUCAGCAGUCCAACAUCUGCUCCAUGGUAAAAGUCCUGCAGUGGGAGUCACGAGUCACACAUCUUUCUAUUGGUGCAUUUAGAACAUCUGUUGCUUUGUAUGGUGGCUUGAAUGUUUUUACUAAUGGCAUUAUUUGGAGGUGCUUUAAAGAAAGGAUGAAGCUCAAGAGUCAAGAAGGACUGAAAUCAGCCAAAUAGCUCGGAAUAACUGGAGAGGAAACAAGUUACAACCCAAUCUAAUUGAAGAAUGUCAUUUUUUGUUUUUUAAACUGUUUGUCCGUGCAGUUUCUGUUCUCCACAGAAUCUCUCAAUAUCUCUCAGUAGGUUUCCUCUUUUUUCUCAAAAUUUUCCUGCAAGAAAAGUUUGAUAUAUGCACUGUUCCCCAGCUGUGUGCAAAUGAUUGGUUUGAGCAGUUUCCAAGAGCAAGGCUGGUGGAGAAGGUUGAUGUGGACCCAACAACAGGAGCUGCUGAAGUCUCAGUUGCUUCCACUUGCUUUCAUCCCGUUUGCAGGAGUCCACAGGCCUCUGCCUGAGGUGCUGCAUGAUCACCCCUUUGUGCCCCUGCAGGAGUGCAGUGGCUUUGGCCACAGGUUUAAGUAAUUCAUGUGGAUCUCUUAAACAUUAACUAGUCUAUAUAAAUAUUUAGCUACUAAAAGUCCGAAUGAUAUGACAGGCCUUCUCCUUUGCCAGAAGUAAUGCUGAGUGUCAGCAGCUUGACUCCACAAGAGGGAACAAGGAGAGUAAAGCAGCACUUAAGGUAAAAGCCUUUUCCUGGAGUUGUGUAACAUUUUCCAUGGAUUUUAUUUUUGAGAUGUUUUGCAAGCUAUGAAUUGCAAGAGAUCCAAGAACUAAUAUGUGCAUCCACUUACAAAAAGGCCUGAGUGUUCUCAGAACAAUCUUCGAUUUUCAAGCAAUUAAGCUUUCAGAUGAGACAGUAAAAAAAAAAACACCUUAAAUCCUAAACUCAGCUGCAGCUGCUAUCCAAUAACUAUCAAUUUAUAACACUUUCAGAUGCCUUUACAGGAGGAUUUUGGGGCUGUACCCAAAAUAGCACGCUGCUUUGUACACUGAUUACCUUAGAUUCUUAAGAAGCCUACAGGCAUUCAACUGACAGCAGAAAGAAUAAAUGAUUUGUAGAGAUACCAAAGAGGAUUUGACUAUUGAAGCAGUAACUAACUGAUGUCUAUUUUUCCAUUUUGCUUUAUGCUAUCUUCAUUGUACAAUCCAGCCCAUGUCAUUUCACAUUUUGAUCAUUUUCACUCAUAGGAAGGAUGGAUUUGUUUGGCCUUUUUUUCCAGAAAAAGGCAUCAAGGGACCUAGUUUUUGAUCUAUGGGGACAUGUAGCUUUGGCCUAUACUAAACCAAAUCUGUUGAAAAGAGGUACUCUGUACUGUGGCCAUUCUUCCAUGAAAAAGCUUAGGAAUGCUGUUAUCGUACUAGGAAAGUUAGAAGAACCUUUGAGUGCAUUUGGUGUACAGACAUCAAGACUGAGCUGUGUUUAACAACUGAGUUUGCUUUUGCUGUUGUGAGACAGUUUCAUUUCCAUGGCUUUGUUAACAAAUCUAAAACAGAAAAUGAAGUUGAGCAAUUCAAAACCAACAGUAGAAUGGAGACUAUUUACACUGCAGCAAAGAGAACAUGAGAUUAGAAAUAGUCCAACUGAGACAUCCAUUCCUUUGCUAAUCUGUAGACUUUGGCCCCCAGAAGUCUCACCUUCUGAAAUGAAAGGUUUGUGGAACAGCAGUAAGGCUCCUACAGCAUAGGUCAACUCAAUCUAAACUGCAAUGAGGACUCAGAAAUGAAAGGCAGAAAUUGAAAACAAAAACAUUCUUUUGAUUCUGUAACAUGCAGAGGAAAGACUUUUAGGCAUCACAGCGUAGCCUGCUUUCAACAAAACAGUUUUCAGAGAAGUAUUCUCUGGAUUUGUAAAAAAGAGGGAGAAGAGCAUAGUUUAUGCCUGCAGCUGGGACAUUGCCUCUAGUUUUAUAUCUGUCAUGUCCUAAGAUGAAAGAGGUACACAGGCAGCAUGUUCACAGAUGAAGUGUGACUCAACACAGCCAGAGCAUGCCCCAGCACCAGAGCAAAGAUAUGAUUAUCUUUCUCUUUGGUAGCAGUUAUUGGGCUAUAAAGCUAAAUAAAUCUUCAAAAGCAGUGGGCACAAGAAAGCCAAGUGCAUUAUUACUCCUAUUCCCCAAACAAAAAAGGCCAGUACAGUGCAUGAGGUAGGCAUCAGGUAAGCUAGUUUCAGUCCAGCACAAGUCUUCUGGUGGUUUCCCAUUUUCCUUCAUAAGCAAGAGAAAGAAAGCCCAUGACCACAAGGUGCGGGGAACUUCGUCUUCUUCACAUAGCAGAGAACUGUGAGCCUCACUGCUGGAAGAAGCACUGAGUUGCUCCACAGACACCAGCCACUGCAUGGCUCAUCUCCAUUACUUUGGCAUCAGCAAGGCACCAUUACCAAUUUGGUAGUGGCUCUGUGCAAACCCAUAGCCACUCAUGAUCUCAGAGCUGCGUAACACUGAUCUCUACCUUACUUGGUGCUAACUGGCCCUCCGUCCCUUCUCCGUCCCCCCUCCCCAGUAUUUCAGCCAGUAUUGCUUCCAGCUUUUAAAAUAUGGAAUAUGGAACACUUCUCAUGAAAUGGUGGAUGUAUUCUUUAUUCUUGUGGUUUCUCAGCCUUUGGUUUGUGCUGAGGCAAGACUGAAGGCAUUUACUGAAUGGUGGUUCAAGCUGUCCUCAUUUUCCACUUAGCAGUUCUGCCCAGGACUUCAGUAAUCGUCCUAUCUUCGGAAAAUUAUUGCAUCCUACAUUUUGUUCCAUUUAACAGUAUCUUUCCAUCUUCCAGAGAAGGAACUUGAACAAAACCAAUGGAAGAGGUGUCCUUUGACUUCACUGGCAGCAAUAAGGCAAAUGCAGUAAGAAAGCUGGAUGCAUAGCUCAGCUAGAGGAGAAGCACAUUGAAACAGCAGGGAUAUUGUGAAGGCCAAGGUACCAGCAGCUUCAGUAUCCUGCAUAGAAAGGGUACUCCUUGUGUGUUUUGGCCCUGAAAGAAAUAAAAAGGGUUCUUUUCAUGACUAAAGUAAAUCUUAAAUAGAGAUGCAUUUGACACAUGAAAGAGCCAUCAUGGGGUGACUCAAUGGGGCAACCUGAUCCACAAACAGGAACGUUGGAACUAGAUGAUCAUAAAGGGCCCUUCCAACCCAAGCCUUCAGUGACUCUAUGAAUCUCUUGACCGUAAGAUGUGCCUUCUCGUCUAUGCAAGACAGUAUUCUAUUCAGUUCUGCUUGAAAAGUAGCCAAAUUAGUUUUUCUCUUCCCUUAAGCACAUAUGCAGCAUCUGAAAAUUGUUUGGCUUACAAAUUGAUCUUAAAUUUCAGGCUUCCUUUUUUUGACUCUUAUGUCCAUUUGUUCUUAGGUUGACUUCUUUUCACACCUUGAUUUUUAUUUAUUUUUUAAAAAAGAAUAAAAAUCACCUUUUUCAUUUUCCCCUUUCAUCAAUCCAGAAAUAUCCAUCACUAUUACUGUGUUACAAAGUAGAGACCACAGUACCCACAGCUACUGUACCAGACCUUCUCUUGAAUACUACAGUAAGCAUCCCCGUGUUUUUUCUACCUUGCACCCAAGUAGUAUUUUCUCAGCUAAGAACAGGCAUUCAGAGAAAAAGAAAGGCACGCUGUUGCAUAAGGAUGAAAUUUAUUGAAGCAGUGGCCACAUGAAAAAGGCAGCACAGUCAUGUUUCCAACCAAAACAUUUAUCUAUUCAAACUAGUGAUUCUGAAAUUACUACAACAAACAUUUUUACCUCUUCAUGCAUUUGGUUUUUCAACUUAUGGGUGUUAACUGCUAUUUGCAAGGCUCUGUUGGGAGAUAUUUUCACAGAACUAGUAAUAGUGGAGCUAUCACAUAGUUAAGGAUUUAUGGUGCUCUAGGUGAAGCCAAGGCAAAAGCUGGAGGAGAGGUGGGUAAGCUGCCUUCCAAGGCAGUUAUUAGAAACUAAUAAGGUCUGUUAGGUAUCUUCCCCAACUACUUCAGGAUUUCUAUUAUCAAAGCACAACGACGGAGGGAAACAGAGAAAAGAAGAUCUAACUUCAGAAAAAUAUUCUAACCAUAUAUUCUUCUGUUAUACUUUGGGAAAGAGGGGUCAGGUCAGGAAAGAAAACCAAUUCAGUUCUCCCAUGUACCACUCUAACACUGGCUCCCCCUGGCCAUUCCUGAGCCCUUAAUCCAACUGGGCACACCUACACCGCAGCCUUACAGAUUCUGGUCUUCCUGUGUUCCAGACAGAGCACAUUUGGCUUGCACAGACGGGGCUCUGUUCUGUCAAAAAAAGAAUGCAGAAGGCACAUCCAUAACCCGUUUUUAAGCCCAUGUAGGUAGUUAAAAAUGCAGCUACAGUGCACAUAAAGUCCUAGAAACUCAGAAUUAUUCUUUUUUUUUUGUUUUGUUAUUAAGUCCCUAUAUAUACUCUGCCUAGUGACAAUAUAGUCUCAUGUUUAUAUUAUUCCUUUCCAUCCUGAAGGUAGGGCUGAAGGCAGGCAGAUAGAAGAAUAAAAUUUGGUCCUAAGCUCAUGAAAUCUUUGGGCAGGGGCUGCAAUUUCUGGGAAAUAUUCCAACAAAUACGGCAGAAGGGGGAAACAAGGGGGAGACAAGGGGGAAACAAGGAAAGAAAUAGAACCAGAAAGCAAAGUCAGCACAGUGCUCCUCCAAAAAAAGAGCACCAGUAUGUCAAGAAGCAGCAGUACUAGUUACCAUUUUAAACUGCUUUCUGAAAGCAAAUCACAGCCACGAUGCUGUAAUGUUACAAAUGCAAAUUCAUGACAUAUAAAAACUUUACUAUGCAAAAUAAUCCUGUGUCCAGUCCAUACUCUUCUAACGCCAUUUACUGCAAGUGCACAUUAAACCUUGAUAUAUCUACUUACAUCAGUUUUUUGCCACCGAGGUUAAGUUCUGGCAAUCUUUGCAUCAUAGCACAACUUAGUAGCAGUUACUAAAAUAUUUUUAACAUUAAGACCUUAAUCUUCCAUUAAUAAAAUAUAUAUAUAUAGUGAUGCAGGAGGUGUCCACUACAUUCAUAAAGACAAUGCUUGAGUUUUACUAAGAUCAGUAAGUGUGCAACUCGGACCUGGAAAAAGAAGUCACUAAGCAAAUGGUACUUAGUACAGCCAAAGAUAAGUUGUUUGCAUGCAUUUAUUCACAGUUCACAAUGUUAAAUCUACAGUUCUGAAAUAUGUGCAUUUAAAAAAGGAACUGGUCACAGAUCUCUGGAGGCAGUUGAGCAGACAUUGUGCAGAAGGGACUAAUUCAGGUCAGCUGCAAACUCAGUUUGAACUAAGCUUAAAAAAAAAAAGAAGUCACUC